GGACUACACGGGUUUCUAAUCCUGUUUGAUCCCCGCACUUUCGUGCCUCAGCGUCAGUUACUGCUUGGCAAGCUGCCUUCGCUAUCGGUGUUCUUGACGAUAUCUAAGCAUUUCACCGCUACACCGUCAAUUCCGCCUGCCUCAUCAGUACUCAAGUUCCGCAGUAUCAAUGGCACCUCGACAGUUGAGCUGCCGUAUUUCACCACUGACUUAUGGAACCGCCUACGCACCCUUUAAACCCAAUAAAUCCGGACAACGCUUGCCACCUACGUAUUACCGCGGCGGCUGGCAC
rnacentral:rRNA from 2 species